CCCUUAGAUGUUCUGGGCCGCACGCGUGCUACACUGAGUGGAUCAGCGGGUCAGGUUGCGCGAAAGCGUUUCCUAAUCUUUAAAUCCGCUCGUGAUGGGGAUUGACGGUUGCAAUUUUCUGUCAUGAACGAGGAAUACCUUGUAAGCGCGGGUCAUCAUCCCGCGCUGAAUACGUCCCUGCCCUUUGUACACACCGCCCGUCGCUCCUACCGAUUGAGUGGUCCAGUGAGGCUUUGGGAUCUGAGCGGAAAGAGCGUUUCGCUGUUUCUGCUCGGAAAACUCAGUCGAACCUUAUCAUUUAGAGGAAGGAGAAGUCGUAACA
rnacentral:rRNA from 1 species